UAUAUUAAAAAAUUGGACUCGUACCUAUUAAAAAAUUGGAUUACAUAUAUAUUAAUAAAAAUUGUAUAGAAGAGAAGAUGCUCACACCCCAAAUGCCUAGAAGUCUAGAACCUUCCAUCAAAACAAUUUUUAUUUUACUUAUUUCUUAAAUUAGGAGGUGAAUUGAUGAUUCUUUCUAUUAAUAGCCCUUUUAUAACUUACUUCCAAAGCUUCUUUAUCUAUGGUGUCUUGUGUUUAUUCCGUAAAAUAACUCAAACUUCUUAACGGCAUAAACUGCCUUCCCAAAGGAGAAACUUUCCAUUUCCAAAAGUGUUUCUUGAUCAUUUCACAUCAUUUCUUCUCCCUGCAUCUUUGCAGCCUUUCCAUAUCUUUCUUCUUCCUAAAAAUACAAUCUUUUUCACUGCCAAACACUCCCUAAAUUUUGGGUUUUCAGAAUAAUUUCAACUCUUGCUAUUACAUUUUCAAAAAAUAAAGGAGAAACAUUAGGUUUUUUUUUUUUUUUGUGUGUGUGUGUGUGUGUUGAAAUCUUGAUUUCUUCUCCCUGGCAGCCUUUCACAUAUCUCUGUUCUUCUUCUUUCUUCCUAAGAAUACAAUCUUUUCCACUGUUUUUCACUUCCAAACACUCCCUAAAUCUUGGGUUUUCAGAAUAAUCUCAACUCUUGCUAUUACAUUUUGAAAAAGGAAAAAAAAACAUUAGGACCCAUUUCUCUUCUUUCUUUGUGUUGUAAUCUUGAUAAUGAAUCCAGUGUAUACAGUGAAAGAGGAGUUUCCAGGGUCAAGUUCCGGUGGCGGAGGGGGCGAGACGUCUAUGAUGAGCCCUCCACAGCCAAUGGAGGGGCUACAUGACAUUGGUCCACCACCAUUCCUAACAAAGACAUAUGAAAUGGUAGAUGAUUCAACUACAGAUCAUGUUGUUUCUUGGAACAGAGGUGGUCAAAGCUUUGUUGUUUGGGAUCCACAGGCUUUCUCAACUACACUACUCCCUAGAUUCUUCAAACACAAUAACUUCUCUAGCUUUGUCAGACAACUAAAUACUUAUGGAUUUAGAAAGAUUGAUCCAGAGAGAUGGGAAUUCGCGAACGAGGCAUUUCUAAAGGGAAACAAGCAGCUUCUAAGGAACAUAAAGAGGCGAAAAACGACUAAUUCUCAGCCUUUGAGUACAGAACAACAAGCUAUUGGCCCUUGUGUCGAAUUGGGAGGAUUCGGAUUUGAUGGAGAAAUUGAUCGAUUAAGGCGCGACAAGCAAGUAUUGAUGAUGGAACUAGUGAAGCUUAGACAGAACCAACAGAACACUCGAGCUUACCUUCGAUCAUUGGAGCUAAGGUUACAAGGAACAGAAAGGAAGCAGCAACAAAUGAUGAAUUUCUUAGCUAGAGCUAUGCAAAACCCUGAGUUUGUCCAGCAAUUAAUCCAGCAAAAAGAGAAAAGAAAAGAAAUAGAAGACGCUCUAACUAAAAAAAGGCGACGACCUAUUGAUCAAGGCCCUAGUACUAGCCGUUCCAUAAAAUCAGAACCUUUGGAAUUCGGAGAGGCUAGUGGAUUCCAAGUAUCUGAACUCGAAGCACUCGCAUUAGAAAUGCAAGGAUUUGGUAGAGCAAGAAGGGAUCAUCAACAGGAAGACAUGACAAAAGGGCUCGAACAAUUUGGCAACACGGAUAAAGAACUCGAUGAGGGGUUUUGGGAAGAGUUAUUUAAUGAUGGGGACAUUUCUGGAAAUGAAGACGAUGAAGAAGAAGACGUAAAUGUCUUGGCAGAGAGUGUUCAAGGAAGAAUGAUGAAAGCAGCUAGAUGGAUCGACCAGCUAAUCGUUGGUAGUUUUUCUUCCGGAACCAAUAUUCCGGUCCCUUUCUGUGUAACUUUAGGCCUUUCUUAGCAGUAAUAUUGCUAGGAUUGUAAACUUCAUUUUAAUUUUAUUGACAGGAUAGAUUCGUGAAGCACUCAAGAAUCAAGUCUGAAAAUCUCUUCUUGGUGUUUCUGGCAUAGGUUAUGCAGAUUUUGAUGAAGUCUAUGGUCUUUGAAGGUCAUUGUAAAUUCUCAUUAAUAUUGUUCAUCAAGUAAUGUUGCAAUAUUUUGCUUGUGUGGCUUUUAGAUUGCUGUCUUGAUGAUGAAGCAGUUACAAAUAGAAAUCCAAGUUACUUCACGGAAUGAAGAUUUUAUCUAAGUGGCAGUUUGUAACUAUUUUUCUCGCAAAGAUUUGUUUGCCAGAUAGUGUCCCUGUCUCUAUUUGUGAGAAAUGAAUCAUGUUCAUGUUCCAUAAAAAUAAAAAAAAAUAUGCUUCUUUUAGUUGGUCUGUAUUAGCUUAGGCUAUUUAUUUUUCCUUCUUUGUGUCAGUUGUUUCAACCUGCCGUACAACAUUUAAGGUGCGGGAAACAAUAGGUGUGAACUAUAAUUGAUACUAUUUCAAAUGGCUGAAUGAGACAGUUAAAGCAAAGGUAAAUUUAGGAUCCAA